rnacentral:tRNA from 1 species
AUGGAUAUUUUAAUCCCAUAAA